rnacentral:rRNA from 1 species
AGUCGAGGGGUAGCAGGAUGUAGCAAUACAUCGCUGACGACCGGCGCACGGGUGAGUAACGCGUAUGCAACCUACCUUCUACAGGGGCAUAGCCCGGAGAAAUCCGGAUUAAUACCCCAUAACACAGGGACUCCGCCUGGAGAUAUUUGUUAAAGAUUAAUCGGUAGAAGAUGGGCAUGCGUUCCAUUAGCCAGUUGGUGAGGUAACGGCUCACCAAAGCAACGAUGGAUAGGGGAACUGAGAGGUUUAUCCCCCACACUGGAACUGAGACACGGACCAGACUCCUACGGGAGGCAGCAGUGAGGAAUAUUGGUCAAUGGGCGCGAGCCUGAACCAGCCAAGUCGCGUGAAGGAAGACUGCCUUAUGGGUUGUAAACUUCUUUUAUAUGGGAAUAAAAAGAGUUACGUGUAACUUAUUGCAAGUACCAUAUGAAUAAGCAUCGGCUAACUCCGUGCCAGCAGCCGCGGUAAUACGGAGGAUGCGAGCGUUAUCCGGAUUUAUUGGGUUUAAAGGGUGCGCAGGCGGUCCAUUAAGUCAGCGGUGAAAUCUA